GUAGAUAUAGUUUAAUAUAAAAUAUUAGACUGUGGCUCUAAAGACAGGGGUUAAAGCCCCCUUAUUUACC
rnacentral:tRNA from 1 species